GGGGUUGUGGCUCAGUGGUAGAGCACUUGCCUACCAUGUGUGAGGCACAGGGUUCAAUUCUCAGCACCUCA
rnacentral:tRNA from 1 species